AACGCACGAGACCUGCGGACCUGCGGAAGGAUCAUUACAGAGUUCGUGCCCUCUGGGUAGAUCUCCCACCACUGUUUUCCUUACGACCGUUGCUUUGGCGGGCCGCCGGCCCUGCCCGGCCGCCGGCGCCCAGCUGGCGCGCGCCCGCCAGAGGCCCUCCAGACUCUGAAUGUUAGCGUCGUCUGAGUACCACAUAAUAAGUUAAAACUUUCAACAAUGGAUCUCUAGAUCGGAAGAGCA
rnacentral:misc_RNA from 1 species